UACAGAGGGUGCGAGCGUUAAUCGGAAUUACUGGGCGUAAAGCGCGCGUAGGCGGCUUUACAAGCCGGAUGCGAAAUCCCCGGGCUUAACCUGGGAACUGCAUUCGGGACUGCAUUGCUAGAGUAUGGGAGAUGGAAGUGGAAUUUCAGGUGUAGCGGUGAAAUGCGUAGAUAUCGAGAGGAACACCUGAGGUGAAGACGGGUUGCUGGGCCGACACUGACGCUGAAGCGCGAAAGCCAGGGGAGCAAACGGG
rnacentral:rRNA from 1 species